rnacentral:rRNA from 1 species
UACGUAGGGCGCGAGCGUUGUCCGGAUUUAUUGGGCGUAAAGAGCUCGUAGGCGGCUUGUCGCGUCGGAUGUGAAAUCUCAGGGCUCAACUCUGACAUUGCAUUCGAUACGGGCAGGCUAGAGUUCGGUAGGGGAGACUGGAAUUCCUGGUGUAGCGGUGAAAUGCGCAGAUAUCAGGAAGAACACCCGUGGCGAAGGCGGCGCUCUAGGACGGUACUGACGCUGAGACGCGAAAGCGUGGGGAGCGAACAGG